UACGUAGGGGGCAAGCGUUGUCCGGAUUCAUUGGGCGUAAAGAGCUCGUAGGCGGCUUAGCAAGUCGGGUGUGAAAACUCCAGGCUCAACCUGGAGACGCCACCCGAUACUGCUAUGGCUAGAGUCCGGUAGGGGACCACGGAAUUCCUGGUGUAGCGGUGAAAUGCGCAGAUAUCAGGAGGAACACCGGUGGCGAAGGCGGGUCUCUGGGCCGAUACUGACGCUGAGGAGCGAAAGCGUGGGGAGCGAACAGG
rnacentral:rRNA from 1 species